rnacentral:rRNA from 1 species
AACAGGAUUAGAUACCCUGGUAGUCCACGCCGUAAACGAUGUCGACUUGGAGGUUGUGCCCUUGAGGCGUGGCUUCCGGAGCUAACGCGUUAAGUCGACCGCCUGGGGAGUACGGCCGCAAGGUUAAAACUCAAAUGAAUUGACGGGGGCCCGCACAAGCGGUGGAGCAUGUGGUUUAAUUCGAUGCAACGCGAAGAACCUUACCUACUCUCGACAUCCAGAGAACUUAGCAGAGAUGCUUUGGUGCCUUCGGGAACUCUGAGACAGGUGCUGCAUGGCUGUCGUCAGCUCGUGUUGUGAAAUGUUGGGUUAAGUCCCGCAACGAGCGCAACCCUUAUCCUUUGUUGCCAGCGGUCCGGCCGGGAACUCAAAGGAGACUGCCAGUGAUAAACUGGAGGAAGGUGGGGAUGACGUCAAGUCAUCAUGGCCCUUACGAGUAGGGCUACACACGUGCUACAAUGGCGCAUACAAGGAGAAGCGACCUCGCGAGAGCAAGCGGACCUCAUAAAGUGCGUCGUAGUCCGGAUUGGAGUCUGCAACUCGACUCCAUGAAGUCGGAAUCGCUAGUAAUCGUGGAUCAGAAUGCCACGGUGAAUACGUUCCCGGGCCUUGUACACACCGCCCGUCACACCAUGGGAGUGGGUUGCAAAAGAAGUAGGUAGCUUAACCUUCGGGAGGGCGCUUACCACUUUGUGAUUCAUGACUGGGGUGAAGUCGUAACAAGGUACC